rnacentral:rRNA from 1 species
UACGUAGGCAGCAAGCGUUGUUCGGAAUUAUUGGGUUUAAAGGGUGCGUAGGCGGCCCCAUAAGUCAGUGCUGAAAUACUCUAGCUCAACUAGAGGGGUGGCAUUGAUACUGCGGGGCUUGAGUGGAGUCGAGGUAGGCGGAAUUGACGGUGUAGCGGUGAAAUGCUUAGAUAUCGUCAAGAACACCGAUAGUGUAGACAGCUUACUAGGCUUCAACUGACGCUGAGGCACGAAAGUGUGGGGAUCAAACAGG